rnacentral:tRNA from 1 species
AGUCGUUGGCGCAGCGGAAGCGCGCCGGGCUCAUAACCCGGAGGUCGUCCGAUCGAAACGGACACGAGCUA